AAGUUCAUGCCUUUUCUAUCCAA
rnacentral:snRNA from 1 species